CAAACGACUCUCGGCAACGGAUAUCUCGGCUCACGCAUCGAUGAAGAACGUAGCAAAAUGCGAUACUUGGUGUGAAUUGCAGAAUCCCGUGAACCAUCGAGUUUUUGAACGCAAGUUGCGCCCGAAGCCAUUUGGUUGAGGGCACGUCUGCCUGGGCGUCACAC
rnacentral:rRNA from 10 species